UACGGAGGGGGUUAGCGUUGUUCGGAAUUACUGGGCGUAAAGCGCACGUAGGCGGUUUGGUAAGUCUGGGGUGAAAUCCCGGGGCUCAACCCCGGAACUGCCUCAUAAACUAUCAGUCUUGAGUUCGAGAGAGGUGAGUGGAAUUCCGAGUGUAGAGGUGAAAUGCGUAGAUAUUCGGAGGAACACCAGUGGCGAAGGCGGCUCACUGGAUCAAUACUGACGCUGAGGUGCGAAAGCGUGGGGAGCAAACAGG
rnacentral:rRNA from 1 species